GACGAACGCUGGCGGCGUGCUUAACACAUGCAAGUCGAACGGAAAGGCCCUGCUUUUGUGGGGUGCUCGAGUGGCGAACGGGUGAGUAACACGUGAGUAACCUGCCCUUGACUUUGGGAUAACUUCAGGAAACUGGGACUAAUACCGGAUAGGAGCUCCUGCUGCAUGGUGGGGGUUGGAAAGUUUCGGCGGUUGGGGAUGGACUCGCGGCUUAUCAGCUUGUUGGUGGGGUAGUGGCUUACCAAGGCUUUGACGGGUAGCCGGCCUGAGAGGGUGACCGGCCACAUUGGGACUGAGAUACGGCCCAGACUCCUACGGGAGGCAGCAGUGGGGAAUAUUGCACAAUGGGCGGAAGCCUGAUGCGGCAACGCCGCGUGCGGGAUGACGGCCUUCGGGUUGUAAACCGCUUUCGCCUGUGACGAAGCGUGAGUGACGGUAAUGGGUAAAGAAGCACCGGCUAACUACGUG
rnacentral:rRNA from 1 species